GACGAACGCUGGCGGCGUGCCUAAUACAUGCAAGUCGAGCGGAUCUUCAUUAGCUUGCUUUUGAAGAUCAGCGGCGGACGGGUGAGUAACACGUGGGUAACCUACCUGUAAGACUGGGAUAACUUCGGGAAACCGGAGCUAAUACCGGAUAAUCCUUUUCCUCUCAUGAGGAAAAGCUGAAAGACGGUUUCGGCUGUCACUUACAGAUGGGCCCGCGGCGCAUUAGCUAGUUGGUGAGGUAACGGCUCACCAAGGCGACGAUGCGUAGCCGACCUGAGAGGGUGAUCGGCCACACUGGGACUGAGACACGGCCCAGACUCCUACGGGAGGCAGCAGUAGGGAAUCUUCCGCAAUGGACGAAAGUCUGACGGAGCAACGCCGCGUGAGCGAUGAAGGCCUUCGGGUCGUAAAGCUCUGUUGUCAGGGAAGAACAAGUACCGGAGUAACUGCCGGUACCUUGACGGUACCUGACCAGAAAGCCACGGCUAACUACGUGCCAGCCGCCGCAGUAAAAC
rnacentral:rRNA from 1 species